CGGGGCGUAGCUCAGCCUGGCUUAGAGCGCUUGGUUCGGGACCAAGAGGUCGCUGGUUCAAAUCCAGUCGCCCCGA
rnacentral:tRNA from 3 species